rnacentral:rRNA from 1 species
GCAAGCGUUGUUCGGAAUUACUGGGCGUAAAGGGCUCGUAGGCGGCCAACUAAGUCACACGUGAAAUCCCCAGGCUUAACCUGGGAACUGCGUGUGAUACUGGAUGGCUUGAAUCCGGGAGAGGGAUGCAGAAUUCCAGGUGUAGCGGUGAAAUGCGUAGAUAUCUGGAGGAAUACCGGUGGCGAAGGCGGCAUCCUGGACCGACAUUGACGCUGAAAACCGAAAGCUAGGGGAGCAAACGGG